rnacentral:rRNA from 1 species
GAUGAACGCUAGCGAUAGGCUUAACACAUGCAAGUCGAGGGGCAGCAUGGUCUUAGCUUGCUAAGACUGAUGGCGACCGGCGCACGGGUGCGUAACGCGUAUGCAACUUGCCUCACAGAGGGGGAUAACCCGUCGAAAGACGGACUAAUACCACGUACACUUGGGAUAGGGCAUCCUACUCCAAGGAAAUGAAAUUCGCUGUGAGAUAGGCAUGCGUCCCAUUAGCUAGUUGGUGAGGUAACGGCUCACCAAGGCGACGAUGGGUAGGGGAACUGAGAGGUUGAACCCCCACACUGGUACUGAGACACGGACCAGACUCCUACGGGAGGCAGCAGUGAGGAAUAUUGGUCAAUGGGCGAGAGCCUGAACCAGCCAAGUCGCGUGAAGGAUGACUGUCUUAUGGAUUGUAAACUUCUUUUAUACGGGAAUAACAAGAGCCACGUGUGGCUCCCUGCAUGUACCGUAUGAAUAAGCAUCGGCUAACUCCGUGCCAGCAGCCGCGGUAAUACGGAGGAUGCGAGCGUUAUCCGGAUUUAUUGGGUUUAAAGGGUGCGUAGGCGGCCUGUUAAGUCAGCGGUGAAAUCUAGGAGCUUAACUCCUAAAUUGCCAUUGAUACUGGCGGGCUUGAGUGUAGAUGAGGUAGGCGGAAUGCGUGGUGUAGCGGUGGAAUGCAUAGAUAUCACGCAGAACUCCGAUUGCGAAGGCAGCUUACUAAGGUACAACUGACGCUGAAGCACGAAAGCGUGGGUAUCAAACAGG